CACAAAUGCAGAACGAAGUGGGUCUGGGCUCAAGCUGUUUGAGCACAGCCUUGGAUGUGAGAGCCCAGAAAAGGACUGGAGGAGUAAGGAUGAGGCCAGGGCUUGAGACUGGGCCUUGUGUGAACCUUAACCCAACCUCCUCACCUCGGAGAAGCCCUGAGCAAGAAUCCUUGCUAUACCAGACUGUGCAAGAUCCAGGCAGACCAAAACAUCUCCAAGACAAUUCCCACAUCACAGGACCAUAUCUGUCUCAUGGCUGACAACCUUGUCCUGAGCCUACAGGAUGAAAGUUUUACCCCCAGGGCUAUGACAGCCCAAAUGAGGACCCUAGUACAGAGUCCCCAGACUAUAAUCUCAGUACAGUGUUGCUGAAGAAGAGCUCUGGGCAAAAAUAUGAGUACAGGUUUGCCAACGACUGAAGAAGCAGAGUUAACACCUGUACUUUUGAGUAUUUUGAUAUUUGUGUACUUGUCACAUUUUUAUACUCCUCUACAGUCAAUUUAUUCUAUGUAUGGAAAUUCCCUUUCCAUGUUAAUUUAAUGCAUUUAAAAGAAAUCUCUGUUCAGAAUGUUACUCGUAAUAAUAAUGUGUUGUUUUCAUUGUUGUUUUUUUACUGGUGGAAAAUAAAUUCCUGCAGUUUAAUAAGGAUUCAUGACACUACUCAGAUGAUGAAAAUUCUUCGAUUUUAACUUGCUAUUGGUUUUCAUAAUUAUCCCAAUUCUACAGCAUACAUACCAGAAUAAUAACGUAUAUUU